AUUGAACGCUGGCGGCAGGCCUAACACAUGCAAGUCGAGCGGAUGAAGGGAGCUUGCUCCUGGAUUCAGCGGCGGACGGGUGAGUAAUGCCUAGGAAUCUGCCUGGUAGUGGGGGAUAACGUCCGGAAACGGGCGCUAAUACCGCAUACGUCCUGAGGGAGAAAGUGGGGGAUCUUCGGACCUCACGCUAUCAGAUGAGCCUAGGUCGGAUUAGCUAGUUGGUGGGGUAAAGGCCUACCAAGGCGACGAUCCGUAACUGGUCUGAGAGGAUGACCAGUCACACUGGAACUGAGACACGGUCCAGACUCCUACGGGAGGCAGCAGUGGGGAAUAUUGGACAAUGGGCGAAAGCCUGACCCAGCCAUGCCGCGUGUGUGAAGAAGGUCUUCGGAUUGUAAAGCACUUUAAGUUGGGAGGAAGGGCAGUAAGUUAAUACCUUGCUGUUUUGACGUUACCAACAGAAUAAGCACCGGCUAACUUCGUG
rnacentral:rRNA from 1 species